GCAGAUACCCUGAACCCAGUGUCAUACGGGCUUGCCACUAUUCAUACAGAGCCCGAUGAAAACUGCCUUAUAUUAUUUAUCCCAAUAGCCUAAAUUUCUAACGGCUUUGCACAGCCGUUUAAGCUAGUUUUGAUUGAUCUUAAGCAGGUAGGUAUUUAAUUGUUUGCCGAUUCACCUUUUGUACUUUUUGUAUUCGGCAGAUCGUGCAUCUCAUCGAAUCCCACAUGCCGUUCACUUAAUCACGUUUUACCGUUUACGUCGCCCAUCAAUAGUCUCAAAUACACCUCGCCAAACAAAAUCCGAAUCCAACAAGCGAUCGCCUCUUUGAUGGUCCCAGCCAGCAAUGACACACAUUUGUCAUAACGAGCCAACUUCAAAAGGCCGUCGGAGCCAGACAAUGUGGCCAAGUGCAGAGUAAAAGCAAAACCAAAGCCAAAAUCAAAUGCAAAGGCAAACAACGCAAACGCAAGACGAACAGAAACGGGAAGUUGUCCAUAGAGAGAACUUGGCUCACAAAAAGCGCAACAAGUGAAAGACAAAUGUGCCUGCCGGCCAUCAAUUGUCAAAGUCAAACGCCAACAAGGCUGACGGAUUUCCACUCAUAGUGUGAAAUAAUUUCACAGAUGUGUUUUUGGAUACCCUACACUCAAUGAAAAUUGCAAUGAAUGGGUUUAAUAGUUUCUGCAACUCCUAAAAGUAUAAUGGAAUCUUCAUCAGGAUGUCGGGUUGAAGGUGUCCGGACCUAAGCCGGUUCGUUGCCAAGCCGAUUUGCAGCCUUGAUGAUGGAUAUGGAUACCGAAAAGGCUUCAACAGCUUACCAUGUAGCAACUCUUAUAUGGAUAUAAUAUUUUCUAACUGAAUGUCAGGUUCAUAGAACCCUUAUCUUCAAUAAAAGGGUUUGGACUGGACCCACAGUCGGACACAUGCGAUUUUCUAGACACAUGAAUUCAAUGAAAUGAGAUUCUAUGAAAAUCAAUUAAAACUAAACUUAAAUCCGAUAUUAGAUACAAAACAUAAAACAUUGAAUGGUGCUGUAAAAAGGAAACCCAUUCAAUUUUGGGCCGUGUGCCUUAUAAAAUGAAAUGGAAAUGGAAUAUUAAAUUGUGCAUAUUUAAAUCAAUUUAAGAACCAAAACCAAAGUUAAUACAUAUUUAACACAAUAAAAACAAGGACGAACAAAAUUGUUUUGAAACUUUAGCAAAACACAGCAUGAAUAUUCAUAAUGAUGAACAUAUUAUCAACUAUCGCUAAACAUGAUUCAUGGAUGACAUGAACAGGGAAUGAACUGAGGAUUGGAGGAGGAUCACAUUCCUGAUAUGAGAUCGUGGACAGACUCAUAAGACUAUUGCGAAGAAUGAGGCGACAUACAAUAUAACUAUUAUUCAAUUGAAUUUAAAUGAAACAGAAGGAAACUGAAGUUAGCUGCAGCUUUCCAGGAAGAAGAAAGCGAUUCGCCGCCUAUGUAAGUAUUUAUAUAAGCUCAUUUAAAGGCAUAUUCGAGAUAAACCCGAAUAUAAUAAAUGUUUCUAUUCAUUUUAUACGCGCUGUAUGCUCAAUUGUUCGC